GGGUGAGUAAUGCAUAGGAAUCUACCUAGUAGUAUGGGAUAGCCACUAGAAAUGGUGGGUAAUACUGUAUAAUCCCUGCGGGGGAAAGAUUUAUCGCUAUUAGAUGAGCCUAUGUUAGAUUAGCUAGUUGGUAGGGUAAAGGCCUACCAAGGCGAUGAUCUAUAGCUGGUCUGAGAGGAUGAUCAGCCACACUGGAACUGAGAUACGGUCCAGACUCCUACGGGAGGCAGCAGUGGGGAAUAUUGGACAAUGGGCGCAAGCCUGAUCCAGCUAUGCCGCGUGAGUGAGGAAGGCCUUAGGGUUGUAAAACUCUUUCAGUAGGGAAGAUAAUGACGGUACCUACAGAAGAAGUCCCGGCAAACUCCGUGCCAGCAGCCGCGGUAAUACGGAGGGGGCAAGCGUUGUUCGGAAUUAUUGGGCGUAAAGGGCAUGUAGGCGGUUCGGUAAGUUAAAGGUGAAAUGCCAGGGCUUAAC
rnacentral:rRNA from 1 species